rnacentral:lncRNA from 1 species
CAUUUAACAAUAUUCGAUCAAAAUUACAAUAUUAUUACAACAUCAUCUCUAAAUACAUUAGUUUUGGAUAGCAAAGUACCCGGCCACGUCUUAAAGUAAUGCAAAGUCACACUCAGCAAAACAGUCUAAUUCGGAAACAGGUCAGGUUUGUUACUUAAAAGACAAGACGACGUUAAUAAUUUGUUUAGACCGAGACACAUGUAUGAAUCAACC